GAUGAACGCUGGCGGCGUGCUUAACACAUGCAAGUCGAACGGGAUCCACCGGGCUUUGCUUGGUGGUGAGAGUGGCGAACGGGUGAGUAAUGCGUGACCGACCUGCCCCAUACACCGGAAUAGCUCCUGGAAACGGGUGGUAAUGCCGGAUGCUCCAGUUGAUCGCAUGGUCUUCUGGGAAAGCUUUCGCGGUAUGGGAUGGGGUCGCGUCCUAUCAGCUUGACGGCGGGGUAACGGCCCACCGUGGCUUCGACGGGUAGCCGGCCUGAGAGGGCGACCGGCCACAUUGGGACUGAGAUACGGCCCAGACUCCUACGGGAGGCAGCAGUGGGGAAUAUUGCACAAUGGGCGCAAGCCUGAUGCAGCGACGCCGCGUGAGGGAUGGAGGCCUUCGGGUUGUAAACCUCUUUUAUCGGGGAGCAAGCGAGAGUGAGUUUACCCGUUGAAUAAGC
rnacentral:rRNA from 1 species